rnacentral:rRNA from 1 species
UACAGAGGGUGCGAGCGUUAAUCGGAGUUACUGGGCGUAAAGGGCGCGUAGGCGGAUAGGUAAGUAAGAUGUGAAAUCCCUGGGCUUAACCUAGGAAUUGCAUUUUAGACUGCGUAUCUGGAGUACAGUAGAGGGUGGUGGAAUUUCCGGUGUAGCGGUGAAAUGCGUAGAGAUCGGAAGGAACAUCAGUGGCGAAGGCGACCACCUGGACUGUAACUGACGCUGAGGCGCGAAAGCUAGGGGAGCAAACAGG